AACGAACGCUGGCGGCAUGCCUAACACAUGCAAGUCGAACGAGACCUUCGGGUCUAGUGGCGCACGGGUGCGUAACGCGUGGGAAUCUGCCCUUGGGUUCGGGAUAACAGUUGGAAACGACUGCUAAUACCGGAUGACGUCUUCGGACCAAAGAUUUAUCGCCCAGGGAUGAGCCCGCGUCGGAUUAGCUAGUUGGUAGGGUAAAAGCCUACCAAGGCGACGAUCCGUAGCUGGUCUGAGAGGAGGAUCAGCCACACUGGGACUGAGACACGGCCCAGACUCCUCCGGGAGGCAGCAGUGGGGAAUAUUGGACAAUGGGCGAAAGCCUGAUCCAGCAAUGCCGCGUGAGUGAUGAAGGCCUUAGGGUUGUAAAGCUCUUUUACCCGGGAUGAUAAUGACAGUACCGGGAGAAUAAGCCCCGGCUAACCCCGUGCCAGCCGCCGCGGUAA
rnacentral:rRNA from 1 species